CACACACAUCCUAUCAUCUCCCCACCCCCUGUGGGGUACUGCAAGUAGAAAACCAGACUGUGUGGAUCAAUAGCAGAGGCUAUCCUGCUGUUCCAAGGACCUGGGACCGAGACAGAGACGGAGAGAAAGAGACAGAGCGAGAGGAAACAGAGAGAAAGAAGCCUGAGAGAGAGAGGGAGCCCCACAGUAGGUCGAUACAGCUCUGAUACGGCUCCGGUAGAGCUCUGGGACCCUGCUGGUACAGUUCAGCUCAGGUCCCUAGCCGUCGUGGAGGGCCCCACUCUCCAUCUUAUUAGGACAGAUUGGUGCUGCCGGGCCUGGGGUCCGGAGCUGGGGUGGCCCCCUGUAUGGAUCAGCACAGCUGGCUCUAGGUCAGGGGUCAGCAGGGGUUGACAGGGGCCUGUAGGGGCCGGUCACUGAGCCACUCAGCAGAGAGAGAGAAAGCUUCCCACUGGUGUAUUGUGAGAGGGAAGCAUGCGGAGGGCCAGGGCAGCACACAGCUGAGAAUGGGCUCACAGCCUGGUAAUGUUUCUGUCACAUUACCACUGAUGGGAUAGAGGAGAUGGGCCAAACACACACACACACACACACUAUGUGUAGUUAAACGUGAGGAUGUGAGGCUGAACAUGAUCUGGUACAUUCACAUUCAGUAUACACAUAGACAGCUGUUUUCUACCCCAUGCUGCAAGUGAUUUCUCUCCCCCAUCCUCCUCCACAAUGGGGGUGAGAUGGGGAGAGAGAGAGAGAGAGAGACCGAGACAGAGAGAGAAAGAGAGAGACAGAGAAAGAGAGACAGAGAAAGAGAGACAGAAAGAGAGAGACAGAGAAAGAGAGACAGAAAGAGAGAGACAGAGACAGAGAGACAGAAAGAGAGAGACAGAGAAAGAGAGAGACAGAGAAAGAGAGACAGAAAGAGAGAGACAGAGAAAGAGAGAGACAGAGAAAGAGAGACAGAAAGAGAGAGACAGAGAAAGAGAGACAGAAAGAGAGAGACAGAGAAAGAGAGACAGAAAGAGAGAGACAGAGAAAGAGAGAGACAGAGAAAGAGAGACAGAAAGAGAGAGACAGAAAGAGAGAGACAGAAAGAGAGAGACAGAGAAAGAGAGACAGAAAGAGAGAGACAGAGAAAGAGAGACAGAAAGAGAGAGACAGAGACAGAGAGACAGAAAGAGAGAGACAGAGAAAGAGAGAGACAGAAAGAGAGAGACAGAAAGAGAGAGACAGAGAAAGAGAGAGACAGAGAAAGAGAGACAGAAAGAGAGAGACAGAAAGAGAGAGACAGAAAGAGACAGAGAAAGAGAGAGAAAGAGAGAGACAGAAAGAGAGAGACAGAAAGAGAGAGACAGAGAAAGAGAGAGACAGAGAAAGAGAGACAGAAAGAGAGAGACAGAAAGAGAGAGACAGAAAGAGAGAGACAGAGAAAGAGAGAGACAGAGAAAGAGAGACAGAAAGAGAGAGACAGAAAGAGAGAGAGAAAGAGAGAGACAGAGACAGAGAGACAGAAAGAGAGAGACAGAAAGAGAGAGACAGAGAAAGAGAGACAGAAAGAGAGAGACAGAGACAGAGAGACAGAAAGAGAGACAGAAAGAGAGAGACAGAGAGAGAGAGACAGAAAGAGAGAGACAGAGAAAGAGAGAGACAGAGAAAGAGAGAGAAAGAGAGACAGAAAGAGAGAGACAGAAAGAGAGAGACAGAGAAAGAGAGACAGAAAGAGAGAGACAGAGAAAGAGAGACAGAAAGAGAGAGACAGAGAAAGAGAGACAGAAAGAGAGAGACAGAGAAAGAGAGACAGAAAGAGAGAGACAGAGAAAGAGAGACAGAAAGAGAGAGACAGAGAAAGAGAGACAGAAAGAGAGACAGAAAGAGAGAGACAGAGAAAGAGAGACAGAAAGAGAGACAGAGAAAGAGAGAGAAAGAGAGACAGAGAAAGAGAGAGACAGAGAAAGAGAGACAGAGAAAGAGAGACAGAGAAAGAGAGACAGAAAGAGAGACAGAAAGAGAGAGACAGAGAAAGAGAGACAGAAAGAGAGACAGAGAAAGAGAGAGAAAGAGAGAGAGAAAGAGAGAGACAGAGAAAGAGAGACAGAAAGAGAGAGACAGAGAAAGAGAGACAUAAAUAGAGAGACAGAGAAAGAGAGACAGAAAGAGAGAGACAGAGAAAGAGAGAGACAGAGAAAGAGAGACAGAAAGAGAGAGACAGAAAGAGAGAGACAGAGAAAGAGAGACAGAAAGAGAGAGACAGAAAGAGAGACAGAAAUAGAGAGAGAAAGAGAGAGACAGAGAAAGAGAGACAGAAAGAGAGAGACAGAGAAAGAGAGACAGAAAGAGAGAGACAGAGAAAGAGAGAGACAGAGAAAGAGAGACAGAAAGAGAGAGACAGAGAAAAGAGAGACAGAGAAAGAGAGAGAGAGAAAGAGAGAGACAGAGAGAGAGACAGAAAUAGAGAGACAGAGAAAGAGAGACAGAAAGAGAGAGACAGAAAGAGAGAGACAGAGAAAGAGAGACAGAAAAAGAGACAGAGACAGAGAAA
ensembl:lncRNA